rnacentral:rRNA from 1 species
ACUCAAAUGAAUUGACGGGGGCCCGCACAAGCGGUGGAGCAUGUGGUUUAAUUCGACGCAACGCGAAGAACCUUACCCGGGCUUGAACUGUAGAUGACCAAUCAUGAAAGUGAUCUCCCGCAAGGGCAUCUGCAGAGGUGCUGCAUGGCUGUCGUCAGCUCGUGUCGUGAGAUGUUGGGUUAAGUCCCGCAACGAGCGCAACCCUUGUCCGCUGUUGCCAUCAGGUUAAGCUGGGCACUCUGCGGAGACUGCCGGUGACAAACCGGAGGAAGGUGGGGAUGACGUCAAGUCAGCAUGGCCUUUAUGUCCGGGGCUACACACGUGCUACAAUGGCCGGUACAAACCGCUGCAAACUCGCGAGGGUGAGCUAAUCGGAGAAAGCCGGUCUCAGUUCGGAUUGUAGGCUGCAACUCGCCUGCAUGAAGUCGGAAUCGCUAGUAAUCGCGGAUCAGCACGCCGCGGUGAAUACGUUCCCGGGCCUUGUACACACCGCCCGU